GUAAUGAUAACCACUUAACUUUAUAUACAGUUGAACUACGGUCACUUUAGUAAAACAUGGUUCGUUUUCAUAAGGUACUGCCAGUGAAAGGCUGUUGCACGUGUGGUAUAAUAGGUAAGAUGGGCGUGAUUUCCUGAAUUGAAUUAUUAGGGCGGACGAUUUGCGUCAUUGAUUGGUGCAGUCUAUAAAAGCCAUUUGCUGAUGUACCUGGGCAGGUUUCAUUUCCCGGAUGGGGUUGGGUGACUGUGGGUCGGUAAAGCAGAGUGGUUGUGUGUACAGCCACUUCCUUAUUUGGCAUCUUGCUGCGGCUAUUCUGUUUGGCUGAUGAAUGUGACGACAUCUCUCCUCCUCCAGGCUCUGUAUUUAAUCAUCUGGCUUCACCACCUUCCCGGAGUGAUCAUUUGGGUGGAUAAAUCCUCGCAGUGGCAGCACUGCUGUCUCGUUCCAGGAGCUGCUGGCCUUCAUUGACCAGGGUCGAUGACUUUCUCUUUAGAUGGUGGUGGUGUUUCUUCAUUGUGUGUUGUGGCCUUUGGCAUGCACUGGGGUCUUUAUUUUGGUAUGCGAGUGUGUUAUGUAGACUAAGAGCCCCCUUUUUGGAGAGUCUUCCCUGUAAUUUAAGCCGCAGCUCCAUGACAUUUUGAAUGACUGAUUGUAAGCUUUUUUGAGAGCUGAGGUUUCUUUUUUAUUGAUUUUAUGCUAUUUUAAUAAAUGAUUGGUGUUUGAUACGUGUUUCCACGUUUUGCUUUCCACUGGGCAGGGGACCUGUGCAAAGUUUGAGAUUCUUUGGGUGAAAGUCCCAAGGUGGCGUAGUCAGGCAUUCUUCAAUUUUUAUAAUGCUUUGGAUUCAAUUUAAAUUUAUUUUGUAAAAUCCAGCUGGGCCUCCUCAGGCCCCGGCCACAAUCUGGUGUAGUCAGCAGGGUUCUGCUCUUUGUCUGUUUUGGAUCCGACAUUGCA